UGGGGAAUAUUGGACAAUGGGCGCAAGCCUGAUCCAGCCAUGCCGCGUGAGUGAUGAAGGCCCUAGGGUUGUAAAGCUCUUUCACCGGUGAAGAUAAUGACGGUAACCGGAGAAGAAGCCCCGGCUAACUUCGUUCCAGCAGCCGCGGUAAUACGAAGGGGGCUAGCGUUGUUCGGAUUUACUGGGCGUAAAGCGCACGUAGGCGGACUAUUAAGUCAGGGGUGAAAUCCCGGGGCUCAACCCCGGAACUGCCUUUGAUACUGGUAGUCUUGAGUUCGAGAGAGGUGAGUGGAAUUCCGGGUGUAGAGGUGAAAUUCGUAGAUAUUCGGAGGAACACCAGUGGCGAAGGCGGCUCACUGGCUCGAUACUGACGCUGAGGUGCGAAAGCGUGGGGAGCAAACAGG
rnacentral:rRNA from 1 species